AGGCAAAUGGGCUGAGAGAGAUCAAGCAAAACACAAACACGAGCAAAACCCAUCCAUAUAGAUUUAUUAGUCCAUUCAUCCACAAACACUAUGGGAUUCUUUAAGACAUCUUUUGUGCCAAUUUUUGGAUAUGUUAUUUUCUGAUGUUUAUGUAUAUAUACAUACUUAUUUUAAUCAAUUAAUUCAUUAAUCAAUUAAUUCAUCCAUUUUAG
rnacentral:lncRNA from 1 species